rnacentral:pre_miRNA from 1 species
UGUAUAAUACCUAUGUCCCUAAAUUCUUGUCUUAAAUUUGUCUAGAUAUGGAUGCAUCUAGACACGUUUUAGUGUUAGAUAUAUAUGUAUCUACAUAAAUUUAAGACAAACUUUUUUGGACGGAGGUAAUAGAAG